rnacentral:misc_RNA from 1 species
CUGCGGUUGGAUCACCUCCUUUCUAGAGUACAAACUGAUAAGUCUCACAACUAUCAGUUCAUAUAUAGACUCAAUCAUCCUUGUUUAGAUUUCAAAGAUUGAUGAAAAGCUAAUUUUGGGGAAUUAGCUCAGCUGGGAGAGCGCCUGCUUUGCACGCAGGAGGUCAGCGGUUCGAUCCCGCUAUUCGUUCUCCACCAUUUAUUAAGGGCCUAUAGCUCAGCUGGUUAGAGUGCACCCCUGAUAAGGGUGAGGUCACAAGUUCAAGUCUUGUUAGGCCCACCAUAAAAAAGAUUUGUUUAUCAAUCAUAAUAGUAAAGUUUUAAAACUUAAAGCAAGUAUAUAGCUAAUAAUAAAGCAAUAAGUAAAGUAAAAUAAUUUAUUACUUAUGUUUUUAAAUUAUUUAAACUCUUUAUAUAUACUUCCUUUAGGUUUUAAGACCUAAGCUAAAUAAAUAAUAGAAUAUUUUAUAUAUUAGAUUAGUUAUUUAAUGUUAUUUGAAUUAUCAUUGUUAAGAGUCACAAGCAAGUUUUAAUAAAAACAAUUUUACAGGACUUGUUAAAGGAUAAAACCUAGCUAUCUUUUCUUUAGCUUUUAGUUAAAGACAAGUUUUAAACUCACAACUUAGUGAGACUAAUUUAUUUAGUUUUAUUAAGUGUUUAAAUGCUUUCCGUCUUAAGAUAGUAAAGUCUUAUCAUAAAAACUUUAACAAGGAAGUGAUGCGUUUUAGAAUGAAUUUAAAAGGUAAGCUAUUAAGAGCGAAUGG